GUCUAUGGCCAUGCUACCCUGAACAAGACCAAUCCUGUCUGAUCUCAGAAGCUAAGCAGAGUCAGGCCUGAUUAUCCUGAAUGGGAGACCACCUAGGAAGACCAGGUGCUGUAGGUG
rnacentral:rRNA from 1 species